rnacentral:rRNA from 1 species
UGGGGAAUAUUGCACAAUGGGCGCAAGCCUGAUGCAGCCAUGCCGCGUGUGUGAAGAAGGCCUUUGGGUUGUAAAGCACUUUCAGCGAGGAGGAAGGGUAGUGUGUUAAUAGCACAUUGCAUUGACGUUACUCGCAGAAGAAGCACCGGCUAACUCCGUGCCAGCAGCCGCGGUAAUACGGAGGGUGCAAGCGUUAAUCGGAAUUACUGGGCGUAAAGCGCACGCAGGCGGUUUGUUAAGUCAGAUGUGAAAUCCCCGCGCUUAACGUGGGAACUGCAUUUGAAACUGGCAAGCUAGAGUCUUGUAGAGGGGGGUAGAAUUCCAGGUGUAGCGGUGAAAUGCGUAGAGAUCUGGAGGAAUACCGGUGGCGAAGGCGGCCCCCCUGGACAAAGACUGACGCUCAGGUGCGAAAGCGUGGGGAGCAAAACAGGAUUAGAUACCCUGGUAGUCCACGCUGUAAACGAUGUCGACUUGGAGGUUGUGCCCUUGAGGCGUGGCUUCCGGAGCUAACGCGUUAAGUCGACCGCCUGGGGGAGUACGGCCG